GAUGAACGCUAGCUACAGGCUUAACACAUGCAAGUCGAGGGACCGGCGCACGGGUGAGUAACACGUAUCCAACCUGCCCUUUACUCGGGGAUAGCCUUUCGAAAGAAAGAUUAAUACCCGAUAUAAAGGAUGGGGAUGCGUUCCAUUAGGUUGUUGGUGAGGUAACGGCCCACCAAGCCUUCGAUGGAUAGGGGUUCGGAGAGGAAGGUCCCCCACAUUGUACAUGAGACACGAUCCAAAAGCCUACCGGAAGCAGCAGUGAGGAAAAUUGGGCCAUCAGCGUUAGCCUGAACCAGCAAAGUAGCGUGAACGAUGUGGGCUUAUGGGUCGUAUACUUCUUUUAUCUAAGAAUAUGUAUUAUAGGAAUAAGGAUCGGCUAACUCCGUGCCAGAGCCGCGGUAAUAC
rnacentral:rRNA from 1 species